GUGAGGAGCGGGCCGCGCCGCCCUUUGUUACCGCCGGGGACCCGCGCCCGCCCGCAGCCCCCGAAGGCCCGGGGACGUCCGCCCUCCCGCGGCGCCUCCCACCCGGCCGAGGCCGACCCCGCCUCCGGCUGGCCGGCGCGCGGCCAGAGCGAGUGAGGGGUCCAGCGGCCCGGCCAGCGGCGGAUCCACCCUAGGCCACCGCGCCCCGCCAGCCCUCCUCACCUUCCCGGGCUUCCCGCGCCCCGACCGGCCGCUCCCCCGGCCCGCGGCUCAGCGACCAGCUCCGCCGCGCGCGGCCCCUCGGCGCCUCUCCCCGCGGGCCGCCGGCCGGGCCCGGGAGGCUCACUUCGCCCUCACCUGGGGCGCGCACGGGUCCCCUCCCCUCGCCGGCCCGCGGCGGUCGGGAGCUGGCGCCCUCUGCCGGGCCACCGCGCCGGAGCACCCGGGACCCCGGGGACGGGCGGCCAGGCAGGGACGGCGCCCCCGCCGAGGUCACCUGCUGCCAGCCCGGCCUGCGGCCAGGUCCGGGCCGAGGGACCCAGCUGUGCCAACGCCCGGGCCCCGCGCCCCCCAGGAAGGCGCCAAGGAGGCCGGCAGCCCGGGCGCACCCGGCUUUCCAGCUUAACGUGUCCGUGUGGGAAGAUAGGUUCUGCAGCAAUAACAACACCUUCCACAUCUCAGUGGCUUAUAGAGAAAAAGCGAGAGGAUGGACUGAUGGAUUUCUACCCCAUCCACCAUAUGGAGCAGGUUAAUCUCUUGAGCUGCACUGCAACAGAAGGAAGUGGAGGCAGAGAGACACCUCAAUCUGCACACACUGCUCCAGCUAGAGCUGGUCUCGUGGCCGUGUAGGACUGCGGGGGCCUGGAGAAGUGGAAUUCUUGGGCUGUGAAAAUUAGUAGCACAAACCCUGGAGCACAUCUCCCUUCCUUUUGGGGCUCUCUCAGGCAAUGUCUGCUCUCAGCAGCAGAGGAAACACAAAUCGCCCCUUGGAGAACACACCUUCUACCAUAAUUUUCUGAGGAGCCUCUCUCUUCCUGCCCAGCCUCUGUGCAUGACCCUGGAAGAAUUUCUCAGCAACUAUCCAUGACUACCAGGUAAUAAAAUGCCUCUACCAGCCUGUUCAAUGAGUGUAACGAUGUUCUUGAGUUCUAUAUUUUUACUGUAAUUUUGACUACUGUGUGUUCUUUACCUUUAGAAUUCAUAGAAGAAAUGCUGAGAACUUGAUCAACCAUUUCCAAACUUAACAUUGAAAACC
ensembl:lncRNA